GUGCAAAAAGUAAAACAGCAGGAGAAGAAGAAAUGAUCAAGGCUCUCCUAAUCUCUGUCAGCCCUUCACCUUUAUGACCUUGCCUUAUCUACCAGAACAUAGAUCCCUCUUACUAAAAGUAGCAUUGUGUUACAGGCCCUAGCAGGGAAUGUUUUCAGGUCUGGGACCCCUCUAAUCAAAACUGUCACAAAGAUGUCAUUGGCACAAACACGUUAUUUGUCAUCACUUUCUAAGCA
rnacentral:lncRNA from 1 species